rnacentral:rRNA from 1 species
AACGAACGCUGGCGGCAGGCCUAACACAUGCAAGUCGAACGCCCUAGCAAUAGGGAGUGGCAGACGGGUGAGUAACGCGUGGGAACCUUCCCAGUGGUACGGAAUAACUCAGGGAAACUUGAGCUAAUACCGUAUACGCCCGAAAGGGGAAAGAUUUAUCGCCAUUGGAUGGGCCCGCGUUGGAUUAGCUAGUUGGUGGGGUAACGGCCCACCAAGGCUACGAACCGUAGCUGGUCUGAGAGGAUGAUCAGCCACACUGGGACAGAGACACGGCCCAGACUGCUACGGGAGGCAGGAGUGGGUAAUAUUGGACAAUGGGCGUAAGCCUGAUCCAGCCAUGCCGCGUGAGUGACGAAGGUCUUAGGGUUGUAAAGCUCUUUCGGCGGGGAAGAUAAUGACGGUACCCGCAGAAGAAUCCCCGGCUAACUCUGUGCCAGCAGCCGCGGUAAGAC